rnacentral:lncRNA from 1 species
GAGUUUGGAGGGUGCCGGUCAACGAAGCCACGCGAGGUAUUUGAAAGGCAAUCAGCCCGACCGUCCCCCUAGAUUCAUCGUUUUGCGAGGUGGCUGUGACCGCUGUCGACAAGUGCUUUCUCAGCCGCAACCCAGCUGAAAGAGUUAAGGGGCCCGGGAGGAGGAGUGCGCCCGGUAGGCGGGAGAAGAGGGGGUGGUGUGGUGUGUGUGUGUUGGGGGGGGGGGGGACGACGCGGCCAAGCGGAAACGCCGCACAGAGGAACCUCAGCGAACCAAGAAAAAAGAGAAAGUGGCAACGAAAACAAGGACAAAUUAAAUCCUCCUUGGGGAUUUCCAAUGAACUAACCCAAUUCGGACAUUCAAUAAAUACACGACUCUUAAUGAGUGUGCGUGUGCUUGCACCCCGCACCCUCAGCUGCAGGGCACCGGACCGCAAUCUGCAGUUUCUAGUCCAAGCAGCAGCCGAGAACGUAACCCGGCGGUCGGUGUGCUCCGAAUAUAAAGAACUGGCCUGCCUUCUCCCCGAUGCAUAAUUUCUCUAGAGGGCUCACUUCUGUGAACUCAGUUACAGAGGGAGCUCUCCAGCUCAGCAGCAGCCUCGCAGCCUCUGCGUGAUCUCGAGAUUAACCGUAGACGCGGGGCAUUUAUGUAGGAUCGGGUCCAGCUCCUGCUUGCCGGGGUGAAAAGAUACCAUCGUAGAAACAGAUCUAAAAGGCAGCAGUAACCAAAGCCCCAAAACAGAACGGAUUCCCCCCUCCAUUCCAAAAGGUUCCUUUUUAUAUUUAUAUAUGCGUAUAUGUAUAUAUAAAAGAUGGAACACAGAUUUCAUUGAAUAAAUCUGAGAUCUCCAGGUGCAGACGUUUGAAUAGUCGGUGCCAGCACCCCGUGUUUUCCUUUCCUGCCGAUUUUGCUUGGAUCCGGCUCAAAAACCGAAAGAGUCUCGUGGUUUUGUUUACACUGAAUGGGGAGGAUAGGAACAGAGCCAUGGGGCCGCCUUUCAUUAAUAUACAGUGAGGAUUUUGUCUAAAUUACUGCUAUGAGUUUCACAGUACACGCUUUCAAAAGCCGUCUCAGGUGGCCUGAUGAAACGGGAUAGCGCCUCAGCAAACAGAUCCACUUUCUUUCUUUGCAAGGAGGGUGUGCACGUUCGGGAAGCCCCCCAAACGCUGUGCUCCUCAAUAACAGAAACGCACUUCUGUUCCCAGGUCUGUCCCCUUCUCUCCCCCCACCCCCCACGUACUUAGUUCUCAAAUCGCUCCCCAGCUUCCCCCCUCCCACCCCACCCAAUCCUCCCCCUCCCUCUGCGGAGUGUGAUUGUUUUGUCUGGAAAAAAAAAUCCAAAGUAUAUAACAAGGGGAGAACAGUUAGUGCUGAUUUUCAUUUGCAUACAUUUUCAUAUAUUUUGGUGAAAAUAAUAGACGAGAGAGAACCGGGCUUAGAGGAGUCAGUGUAAAGAGAAGGCUAAGGAUAACUCGGCUCUGGAGAGUAGAGAAUAUGCCUUCUCUUCUGCCCCUCCAGGAACCUUACUUUUUUUUUUUUAAACAAAAAACAAAAACAAAAAACAAAAACCAAAAACCAAAAACCAACCACCACCUUUUAUUUAAAAGUCUAACCUUGGGAAUUUGCUGGGGAGAAGGAACUCAGUGAAUAUUGCCCUGGGUCCUGGUAAUUCCACCUACUGAAGACAACUGCCCCUUCUGCUCAUAUUUCCUGAGUCAACAUGGCCGUUCCUAACUUUGAAGAGACUUUAGACAUUCUUUGUUACAAUGAACCUAGAAGAAAGAAGAGAAAUGAAACCUGAAAGAACAGAGGUCCACUGUCAGCAUUUGCACAGGAGGAAGUAUUUCGAAGCCCCCAUCACCUCGUCUGGCCUUAUAGACCUGCUGAUGAGGAAGGCCUUCUGCUCCCCUCCCCCAACCCUCUCCUCUUUCCAUCUCUUGCCUAAAGGCUGCUCCGUUUGGGGGACUGUGCCCAAGGUGCUGCAUGGUCGACCGACCGACCCCAGAGAAAGGCAGGCAUCAUCAUCUCAGCUGCUCCCUCUGCUCUAAGGACCGGGGACUAGGAACAUUCUGGCAAGAGAAGGGAGGGGGGGCCAAGCUUGGAGUCACACAUGGCUGCAUUUCGUAUGGCAAGGCUUUCUUGUUUGUGCUUUCUUCCUAUGGAAAAAAAAAAGGCUCUGGAAGGGGCCUGGGGAGCCAGAUCAAAUGUUCAAAUGUACUGGCAGGGAGCCAAGGCUCAACUUCUCUGCCAGGAACUCCACGUUCUCAAGUCUUCACUGCUGUUGAAACUGAUCGGGAAGGUUAAUGAGAUUAAUAUGGCCAAACACUGUGGGCUUCUGGGAAGCAAACAGCCAGGGAAAUUUGACCAACAUCUAGGAUGGUCUGUAGGAAUGGGAUAGUGUGACAAUUCUACAUAUCUUACAAAGAUCAAAUCAACACAAUUCAUAUUUCUGUCGGCUUGAGCAAUGACUAUUCUAUGUUUUGGAGACUCUGAUCCUUUCUCUUCUAGCUCCUGGUACAGCCUAUAAUAAGCUGUAGUGAACUUCAGUCACCCUUCUGUGCUGAAGGGCAUGGGCACCCAGUCUUCCCAGCUAGCCGAGUUUCAAGACUUGGGAAAGGAGUUGCUUGCUCCAAGUGCUAAGUGCCUGUGAACAUUGACUAACUUCCCAUGCCCAAGAACUUCUCAUCCGUUUGGCCCCAACUAAAGACACAACGUAUGUAGCUACCAAAUGACAACUUUCCAGGUCAUCUGCCACCAGAGCCUGCCUCCCUCAGACCCAUACAUGGCACUCACACCUGGUGCAAGUGAGCUUGCUUGUCCUCUCAUCAUCUUGGCACCAUGUCUUCCCCUCUGGUCAUCUUAGUAAAGCCCCAAAGAACGGGCAAUAAUGUGAGAGCUGAAGGCUCGUCAGUGCCACUAUCUGUCUUAUUAUGAAUAAAAAAAUUUAAACCCAA